rnacentral:snRNA from 1 species
GUGCGCACUUUGGCAGCACAUAUGCUAAAAUUGGAACAAUGCAGAGGAGAUUAGCAUGGCCCCUGCGCAAGGAUGACACACAAAUUCAUGAAGUGUUCUGUGUUUUU